CACAACAAAUAUUUGUGCUCAACUAUGUUGACCAUCCAGAACUACAUAACAAUUCUCAUUUCCACAAACUCUGACCCUGUUGAAAAAUAGAAAUGAAAUAUAUUCAGAUACUGAAUUGAUGAAUCAUUUAUUUCAAAUUCAUAUACAGGGACCAAAUCACGACAAUUCUUUCUAUUAACAAAACAUUUGAAGUAAAAUUCAUGCGUUUCACGGAUUCAAGUGAACAAACCACAUUGAAGGUUUACAUUGGUCAACCAGGACGGGGCAUAAAGGCCGUGGAGAGGCUGAGGUGGAGAGUAUAGCUAAAAGAGUGACUGCUAAUCAGAAUCCAAUCCAAACUAAUAUUAAUGCUGUCUAGUGCAAUUUUAAGUUACAAGAAAAUAACAGCAGUGCCUGACCCACAGGAUAAGACUGAACUGACAAUCAACCUGAGUUUAAUCUUGGUAUUCGGUAACCAAGGCUGAAAUAAGAUCAUCAAUGCAAUUUGAAAUUGUGUGAGUGAGAGUGGGGUUGGGCAAUGAUAUAAUCACGGGUGUUUUGUUGAGGCUGCAAACUCGAGGUUCUGAUGUCGAGUGGCCCAGAUAGCCACCCCACGAUCACGAGUGCUGUGUUGCUUUGAUACAUUAAUUAAACCUCAGACUAAUAAACCUUAAAACACCAAAUCUGGUGUUUUUAUCCUAUUAUUAUACGAAUUGCCCCCCAGUUUUCGAUCAAGCUGAAGUUGUCCUUAAGCUGCAGAGAGGCUGGCUCAACUGUCGCUGCCGAGUCAGGGUUGUGAAGAUGUCCUGUUGAUUCCGGAUGUCUCUUAAAUGGUGGAUCCCAGCGUCUUCAGUUCGGUCCCUGGAAAAAGAAAAAAGAUCAUUCCCUCCAGUCCCCGUUGACCUCAUUCUUGUCAGAAUGUAUAGCAUCGUCAAAUUUUUGGGGGAAAGGACUGUUGGCAUAGUGGCCAGUAAUUGGAUUAUAAAAGAGGGAGAUGUAAGUACAUGCGAAAAACCUUUAUGUCAAUCAUUUCAAAAAUUCUAUGCAAGUUCUGCAAAACUAUUUUGUUUUCCAUUUCAGAAGACAUGCAGCUACUGGCCACUCCACAAGCCCACACAGAGGGCAAAGGACAAAGAUUUGCCCGAUCCUAAAACCUGGCUAAAAAGGCCAAUAAAAAUAUUUGUGUGUUAAUGUGUGUUAAUGGGCGACAAAUAAAUAAGUGGUGACAUGCAACACAUUUAAAAGAGUGUAAUUUCUAAUUGUUUUGGCCCACCUGACUGUUUAGAUGAUUGGGAUCAGGCCGUCAGGAGGAACAAGAGGGCGGAGACAAAGUCCUGUGUGGAGACAGGAAAUGAGGACAUAGGGAGGCGCAUCAUAGUCAAACCCCAAAAAUGUAUUCACACCGGUAUAUCUGCACAUCCUUGUGUACUGUAUUAACUUAGUGUUAAAAGUGCAAGCAGCAAUUCUAAACAAUGUGUAAACAUGUAACACUGUUAUUUACUUUCGGCUAAUAUGAUUCUGUUCAGGUGAAAAGAGAACAAAGAAACGAAAUGGGAAAAAGGCAGGACAAGGUCCACAUUUCAGGACUUCCCUUCCUCCUCCACCCCAGAUAGAAUCCCCCAUUCCACGGCGUAGCGCACUACAAAUAUCUUCACCCCCUGUGACUGAUGACGGUAGAGUUUUGCAAGGGAAUGAUGGUUAAAAACAAAUACAAAUAAUUGCAUAGAAGUCAAGAAGACACUAUGUUUCGAAACAAAAACACAUAACCUAAAUUCUUAUCUUGUUCUUUCUGUAGAUUACUCCCCUCCUUCACCGGCAAGAGACGUUUUUACAGAAAAUGAUGGUAAAGUUAUGCAUGGUAAUGAUGACGAAUGAUGAUGACAUAACAGUAAUUCUAUGAGCCAAGACAACAAAGAGUUUGAAACCAAAAAAAAACAUUGAAUUAUUAUUUUGUACUUCCUGCAGAUGAUUCGAUUGCGUCUUCAUUUGAAACGCCAUUGCCUAUCUCUACUGGGGACGGUAAAGUGGCGGGUGGAGAGGGUGGUUAAAACCAAACUAGUAACUCUUAUCAACAGGUUAUGACAGUCAUCUGUCUAUACUAACCCUACACAUUAUGCUUUAUACACAUUACUUAGGUGACCGAAGAGAGAGAGAAACCAUACCAAUCUGGGCAAAGGAAUAUCAACGGUAAUACAUGUAUUGAACUGUAUUGCACUGUAUGCAAAUGACACCAAAUACUACUAAAUACACUCCUCUCAUCUCAACAUAAUUUUUUUUACAGCGACAUUGGAGGUUCUGCUCCUGUUGGGCAAAAUAACCUGCUGAGUACAUCACAUGUACAUUAUAAAUAUAGCUAACUCCUACCCUAGCUUAAUGAGCACAUCACAUGGCAGUCACCUUAUAAUAUAGUCAACUUUUAACACAUAACACAUACAUGAGAAUAUAGUCAGGUCAGGGCCGGAGCCAGGGCCCCAUUUCUCCUCCCGGCAGAUGGUAGACACUCAGACAAUGCACCAGUCAUCCUCAAGAACGGGAGGGCCACAACAGGAGAUGCUCUGAAGCUCUCCCCCGUGAGGAGGAACACAAGAAGAUAUACAUGCAUACACUAGUGCCUGGGAGCCAAGGUCAAGUAAAAACACACAGAACCACACACAUCUCAAACGCACACACCUCAUCACGAGGAGAUACAGCAUAAGACUGUAUCACACUGAGACUCUUCACCUUCUUCUGAAGCAGACCUUCCACGGAGGCGAAGCUCCGGACGAACCAUCAGCGCUGAUUAGGGACUUAGACAUAUUCGAUUUCUCACGCUUUAUGACUCUGUAUAACCGUUGCCACUUUACUUAAUAAAUCCAAGGUCCUCGUGCCGACAGACUUUAUUACCUCUCCGUCUCAUUUCAUCUGGUCCAGUAACUAGACAGACCGUUUUUCCCUUCACUCCGAAGGCUUGAGACUGUUGAGCAGAAUCAGAGAGAGGCUCUAUUAUUGCUACGGGCAAAUCGACAUGGGGACCCUAGGGAAGCUAGUGUCGAGUUACUGCAGGCGCAAACUCAGGCCGAACUACAGGAACUCGAGGAGCACCUUAAAAAUAGAGAUUUCACCAAAAAAAUUGUAAAUGUACGAAUAAUGGUGAAGUGACUUUAGGCUAUAUUGUACACAUGCCACCAAGUGUGCCACAUGGCCCUGCCAUUGAGCUUUUUUCAUCUUUAGUUCCCUGUUGUUAGCUAAGUAGUUAGAGAUGAGCAGUCCAUCUUCAAAUACCUUAAUUUGGUUCACCCCCCUCAAAAGAAAACACCACCAACACCACAUGAAAAAUACAAUGCAAAUACUUGCCUUAACCAUGGUUGUUUGAUUUCCUUAGAUUUCCCAUCUGAGCCUAGUUGGGGGGUCCAAUCCUGGGGAGUGUGUGAGGAGGGUGUUGCGCUCUGUGGCCUCAAACUUUGUUUGGAGCAGCUACAGCCUUAGGGGAAAGAAGGGGAAGAUGCCACUGCUUGGCACAGCAGUGGGCAGUACCAUCAAACGUAAGUCUAAAUAUGUGCAAACAAAUCUAUUUAGCUGUUUCAGCUAUUUUUCUACACCUUUUAGCUGAUGUGAUCUGUUUCUUCCAAAGACUCCUCAUUUAGGGAUGGACAUGAUUAAUCGACGAUCGACUAAUUGAUCAUUAAGAAUUUCGUCGAUGACGUACAUUUUUCAUCGAUAAAACUAAUGCUAAAAAAUAUCUUCACACGGUGUGUCUUUUUACAAUUACCAUUCGUAUUGUUGUUCAGCAGAGAAAUACAGACGGACCAAUUGCGAACUACUGCAACUGCUGAUGCCAUCUCUCCAAGUUAAAAAGUAGCCGCACCCACCCCAAACUAAUCGGAAUAAGUGUAUAGAUGUCGAUUAUAGCCGACUACACCACCUAUUCUAUUCCACAUGGAAUUCUAUUCCGAUCAGAGAAUUAUAUUUAGAUUAGCCGCGUUUACAUGGACACUUCUGAUCCGAUUCGAUUUCUAAUCGGAAUAUAUAUAUUCUUAUCAUGCAAUCCGAGUGUACUGUAUAUAUGGCAGUUACAA
rnacentral:lncRNA from 1 species